UACGUAGGGGGCGAGCGUUGUCCGGAAUUACUGGGCGUAAAGGGCGCGUAGGCGGCCGCGCAAGUCUGGUGUGAAAGCCCAGGGCUUAACCCUGGAAGGGCACUGGAAACUGUGCGGCUUGAGUGCCGGAGAGGGAGGUGGAAUUCCCGGUGUAGCGGUGAAAUGCGUGGAUAUCGGGAGGAACACCAGUGGCGAAGGCGGCCUCCUGGACUGGCCCUGACGCUGAGGCACGAAAGCUGGGGGAGCAAACAGG
rnacentral:rRNA from 1 species